rnacentral:rRNA from 1 species
CCUACGGGAGGCAGCAGUGAGGAAUAUUGGUCAAUGGGCGUAAGCCUGAACCAGCCAAGUCGCGUGAGGGAUGAAGGUUCUAUGGAUUGUAAACCUCUUUUAUAAGGGAAUAAAGUGCGGGACGUGUCCCGUUUUGUAUGUACCUUAUGAAUAAGGAUCGGCUAACUCCGUGCCAGCAGCCGCGGUAAUACGGAGGGUCCGAGCGUUAUCCGGAUUUAUUGGGUUUAAAGGGUGCGUAGGCGGCCUUUUAAGUCAGCGGUGAAAGUCUGUGGCUCAACCAUAGAAUUGCCGUUGAAACUGGGAGGCUUGAGUAUGUUUGAGGCAGGCGGAAUGCGUGGUGUAGCGGUGAAAUGCUUAGAUAUCACGCAGAACCCCGAUUGCGAAGGCAGCCUGCCAGGCCAUGACUGACGCUGAUGCACGAAAGCGUGGGGAUCAAACAGGAUUAGAUACCCGAGUAGUC